UACUCUUGCCUGGGGACUUCCAUGGACAGAGGAGUCUGGCGGGCUGCAGCCCAUGGGGUCACAAAGAGUCAGACACGACUGAGCGACUGAGGACUCGCAACCAUCCAGCAGAGAUUCAGGCUUUGAAGAAAGGAAACUCUCAUGGUUUGAGCCAAACUGUCCCAAAAUGCAAGGUGGCAUCCUCAGUGAACACCAAGGACAACGCUGCUUUUUAAACAGCAUGGUGGACUGAACCUGACAACAGCCACUGUGAAGCCUGACUGAUUGGAUGUGAGUUAAAACCAAAUUAGGUUGGCUGCUUUUGUUGUUCUUGGCACUAAUCCAUUCCAGAACUCUGAUGGUCAAAAGAAGAUCAGCAACUUAUCUUGCUUGCUCCACUUAAAUUAAGCAAAGGAGAGCUCGCUGGAUGGUUUGGACAUCUUGUAACUCAAGAAGACACAGAGGGAGGUAACAGGUCUUAGUUGCGGGAUGUGGGAUCUUUGAUCAUCA